AUUGAACGCUGGCGGCAUGCCUAACACAUGCAAGUCGAACGAGUGGCGGACGGGUGAGUAAUGUCUGGGAAACUGCCCGCUGGAGGGGGAUAACUACUGGACACGGUAGCUAAUACCGCAUACCAUCUGAUGUGCCCAGCUGGGCGUAGCUUGUAGGUGAGGUAACGGCUCACCUAGGCGACGAUCCCUAGCUGGUCUGAGAGGAUGACCAGCCACACUGGAACUGAGACACGGUCCAGACUCCUACGGGAGGCAGCAGUGGGGAAUAUUGCACAAUGGGCGCAAGCCUGAUGCAGCCAUGCCGCGUGUAUGAAGAAGGCCUUCGGGUUGUAAAGUACUUUCAGCGGGGAGGCGUUACCCGCAGAAGAAGCACCGGCUAACUCCGUGCCAGCAGCCGCGGUAAUAC
rnacentral:rRNA from 1 species